AUGUUCAUCGCACAAUAUGGCCACUUCCACGGAAUGAAUGCGAGCGAUAUUUCGCUAAUCUGAAACAACUAUUCUAUUUGGUUAUGAAGAAUGUUAAACUUUUUUUUAGCAAUAGUGUCGUUUGUUUUCGCCUUGUUGCUCGUCCUUUUGCUGGUGGGCAUAGGAUGGUACAUUGUGUGGAAGCUGUUUCUCUCACGGUUUCGAUUUGUGCGAGAACUUCUGGUUGCAAACAACGGUGCUUCGGAAGUUCAAGGAACGCCACGAACCCGGAACCGCAAGCCUAGAAUUGACUGAAACAUGGACUGGCGAGUCUCGCCAUGGCACAUACCCAACAAUGUGUAUUUUGUUAAACGGCUUAAAUGAUGACCAUGAUUGUGACGUAAUGCUGUGCCGACUGAAGAGGGUGCACUGCAAUGCUGUGGAUGUAUUCUUGAUGGUGUCAAUGAUGUGCAACAUGUGCCAUCACUUUUUAUGUCCUGGUCCCCAGCGAAGUGUUGCGCGUACCCUCUAGCGGGGCGAACCGCAUUUUAUUAUGACUUGUGCGUUUGGUAUACAUGCAGCUGUACAUGGCAGGCAUGCUGUGGCACAGAUGCUCAAUUGAGAGUGACUUUUUUUUUUUCGCAUCGCUUGUUGUGUUAUGCAUGCAUGUGAUCGCUCGGUAUGCAACCCUACUUCUGGGAUAUGUGUAUAUAUUUACAUAAAUAUCCUAAAGGAAAGGAGUAGUAGGUUACAAAAAAAUGUACAGAUUUGUGAAGUUGGUUGAUGCUAAUCUUUCACGUCAGUGCUAUUUACUGAAACCUAGUUUUUGAUAGAUUUCUGUACUUGCAUCUCAUUCAUGAAUGAAGCAAGUUGCUUUAAACCGAUCUUGUAUACAUGCGAGUGAUGUGUAAUAAUAAAUAUUUUGAGUAACAUAACCUC
rnacentral:lncRNA from 1 species